rnacentral:rRNA from 1 species
CCUACGGGAGGCUGCAGUAGGGAAUCUUCCACAAUGGGCGCAAGCCUGAUGGAGCAACACCGCGUGAGUGAAGAAGGGUUUCGGCUCGUAAAGCUCUGUUGUUGGAGAAGAACGUGCGUGAGAGUAACUGUUCACGCAGUGACGGUAUCCAACCAGAAAGUCACGGCUAACUACGUGCCAGCAGCCGCGGUAAUACGUAGGUGGCAAGCGUUAUCCGGAUUUAUUGGGCGUAAAGCUAGUGCAGGCGGUUGCUUAGGUCUGAUGUGAAAGCCUUCGGCUUAACCGAAGAAGUGCAUCGGAAACCGGGCAACUUGAGUGCAGAAGAGGACAGUGGAACUCCAUGUGUAGCGGUGGAAUGCGUAGAUAUAUGGAAGAACACCAGUGGCGAAGGCGGCUGUCUGGUCUGCAACUGACGCUGAGGCUCGAAAGCAUGGGUAGCGAACAGGAUUAGAUACCCGAGUAGUC